CUGGGCGUUGCUAUCAAAGUUCUCUGCUGACUUCACUCCUGAGAGCUCUGCCCUGUCACCAAUGGUGCUGGAAAAAAGGAAGAAGGAAAAUACCAGGGGAGGUGACGACUGCCACCUACUGUCCCUGCUCCAUUCACAUGACUUCAGUGCAUGUCGUGAGGCUGCCUGUGGGCUCGAGCCCAGUAAUCUGAGAACCGUGAGAAGAAGCUGUUUAAACGUCACCCAGCUUUUGCACGGUUUGAAUCAAAUAAACAGUGCUGUCCAGAGGCGGAAACUAACGUCUUGAAAACGGAAGGAUCUCAUCCAGCUUCUAGAAAAGAGCCGAAAUUCUUGAUUUGGGGGACAGUCCGCAGAAGCUGGCUGGGGUGCACACAGGAGUACUCGCCAAUUACAAAGGAAGGAACAGGGAGAACCUUAGCGGUCUCCGCCUCAGGAAGUUAGAAGUUGUAACUGGCUUUAAAGAUGCUAAUGGAGCACGACUGGCCAAUUGAUGCCAAAGGCCCAGCGUCCCUGCCUCACGGGAGGAAAGUGGUCAGAACAUGUUCUCUCUGUGAAGCGUUCCAAUGACUGUUCCCACUGAACUUGCCUCUGGCUGUUGCACACGUCCUCUGGAGCCUCCACCUCCCACGAGGAGGGGGCCGUGCUCGGGGCUGCCUGGCCGCAGAGGAGCUCGCUCAGCAGGACCUGCUGGGAUGGACGCGGAUGAAAGGACAGCAGAGCCUGGCUGGCGGCUGCCUCCCGUUGGCCUGAAAUAUCUCUCUCGCCGCACUUUGAAGAACCAGAGGCCCAGGCAGAGUUGUUCUGAUUCGGGCUGCUUCAAAGACAUGCAUGAAACAUCAAUCUUUAUCAGGGGCCUUUUGGAAAAGAUGUGGCAGAUGGUAGGACACAGGCUUGUCCUCAAGAAAAUACAGGGACUCAGUCAAACUUUAUGUUGUUCCAUUUCCAUUGCCCUCACUCACCCAACCAGGACCUUCAUACUGAAGUCUCUCUCUCUAGAAGGAAAUUCAAGGGCCCUGGCCUGGCCCACCUUCCUCUCUGUGGCCAAUGCCCCUAGUCCUGUCGUGUUCAUGCCUUCUGUUCCGUGGGAAUAUAGCCCCCAGAUAAUUUUGUCAGAUGUGAUAGGCUAAGUACAGCCCCAAAGAUGUGCAGAUUCAAAUCCCUUCGAACGUGUGACUAUUCCCUGAUUUGGCAAAGAGACUUUGCAGGUAAUUGAAUUCAGGGUCUUGAGAUGGAGAUUAUCCUGGAUUGUCCACAUGGGCCCUAAAUGCCCCUGCGGUGUCCUUAAGAGGGAUGUUUGACGGCACGGAGGCAGAGGGUGGCUGACCGCUGGGCUGCUGGACGCGGGGCGGGGGAGGGGCUGGAGCCGAGCAGCCGGAGAGGUUAGAAGAAGGAGGAGGUGGGUUUCCCACAGUCCAGGAGGGAGGGCAUACUUUUGGUCCAGUACUUCUGAUUGUAGACUUCCAACCUCCAGAAUGAUACAAGAAUGAAUACGCGUUGUCUGAAGCCGCCUAGUCCGUGGUCCUUUGUUACGGCAGCACUGGAAGUUCUUACAGGGGCCAAGUGUCUGCCAAGAGCAAAGGGGAUGGUGCUCAGCUGCUUUUGUAGCUCUUGGCCGUCGUGCCAGGUUCGGAUGGAUGAGACACACCUGCAAGCAUGGUGCCAACGUCUGGAAAGUCUGCUUAAAGAAGGGGUCUGACUUCUCUGUUCUUCUUCCUGCCCACUAUGCUGACAUGUUCUCUGGACGCCGGCAGCCAUCUGGGACCACGAGAUGCAUUUGGGAAUGAAGUCUGCACAUGGUGCAUCAGCAAGAGGAGAUAAGCAUGGCAGCAAAC